AGUAACGGCGAGUGAAGCGGUAACAGCUCAAAUUUGAAAUCUGGCUCCUGCGGAGUCCGAAUUGUAAUUUGUAGAAGAUGCUUUGGGAGGUCGGCGCGGCCUAAGUUCCUUGGAACAGGACAUCAGAGAGGGUGAGAAUCCCGUAUGUGGCCGUGGCCGACGCCCGUGUAAAGCUCUUUCGACGAGUCGAGUUGUUUGGGAAUGCAGCUCAAAAUGGGUGGUAAAUUUCAUCUAAAGCUAAAUAUUGGCCAGAGACCGAUAGCGCACAAGUAGAGUGAUCGAAAGAUGAAAAGCACUUUGGAAAGAGAGUUAAACAGUACGUGAAAUUGUUGAAAGGGAAGCGCUUGCACCCAGACUUGGGCGUCGUCGAUCAUCCGAGGUUCUCCUCGGUGCACUCGGCGAGGCACAGGCCAGCAUCGGUUUGGAUGGUUGGAGAAAGGCUCUAGGAACGUAGCUCUCUUCGGGGAGUGUUAUAGCCUAGGGCGUCAUGCAGCCCAUCCGGACCGAGGACCGCGCCUUUGGGCUAGGAUGCUGGCGUAAUGGUUGCAAGCGACCCGUCUUGAAACACGGACCAAGGAGUCUAACAUCUAUGCGAGUGUUUGGGCGUUAAACCCAUACGCGGAAUGAAAGUGAACGUAGGUGAGAACCCGUCUGGGUGCAUCAUCGACCGAUCCUGAUGUCUUCGGAUGGAUUUGAGUAAGAGCAUAGCUGUUGGGA
rnacentral:rRNA from 1 species